rnacentral:rRNA from 1 species
AAGUGACGCGGUAGAGGAGCGUUCUGUAAGCCUGUGAAGGUGAGUUGAGAAGCUUGCUGGAGGUAUCAGAAGUGCGAAUGCUGACAUGAGUAACGACAAUGGGUGUGAAAAACACCCACGCCGAAAGACCAAGGGUUCCUGCGCAACGUUAAUCGACGCAGGGUUAGUCGGUUCCUAAGGCGAGGCUGAAAAGCGUAGUCGAUGGGAAACAGGUUAAUAUUCCUGUACUUCUGGUUACUGCGAUGGAGGGACGGAGAAGGCUAGGCCAGCUUGGCGUUGGUUGUCCAAGUUUAAGGUGGUAGGCUGAAAUCUUAGGUAAAUCCGGGGUUUCAAGGCCGAGAGCUGAUGACGAGUCGUCUUUUAGAUGACGAAGUGGUUGAUGCCAUGCUUCCAAGAAAAGCUUCUAAGCUUCAGGUAACCAGGAACCGUACCCCAAACCGACACAGGUGGUCGGGUAGAGAAUACCAAGGCGCUUGAGAGAACUCGGGUGAAGGAACUAGGCAAAAUGGCACCGUAACUUCGGGAGAAGGUGCGCCGGCUAGGGUGAAGGAUUUACUCCGUAAGCUCUGGCUGGUCGAAGAUACCAGGCCGCUGCGACUGUUUAUUAAAAACACAGCACUCUGCAAACACGAAAGUGGACGUAUAGGGUGUGACGCCUGCCCGGUGCCGGAAGGUUAAUUGAUGGGGUUAGCGCAAGCGAAGCUCUUGAUCGAAGCCCCGGUAAACGGCGGCCGUAACUAUAACGGUCCUAAGGUAGCGAAAUUCCUUGUCGGGUAAGUUCCGACCUGCACGAAUGGCGUAACGAUGGCGGCGCUGUCUCCACCCGAGACUCAGUGAAAUUGAAAUCGCUGUGAAGAUGCAGUGUAUCCGCGGCUAGACGGAAAGACCCCGUGAACCUUUACUGUAGCUUUGCACUGGACUUUGAGCCUGCUUGUGUAGGAUAGGUGGGAGGCUUUGAAGCGUGGACGCCAGUUCGCGUGGAGCCAUCCUUGAAAUACCACCCUGGCAUGCUUGAGGUUCUAACUCUGGUCCGUGAUCCGGAUCGAGGACAGUGUAUGGUGGGCAGUUUGACUGGGGCGGUCUCCUCCUAAAGAGUAACGGAGGAGUACGAAGGUGCGCUCAGACCGGUCGGAAAUCGGUCGCAGAGUAUAAAGGCAAAAGCGCGCUUGACUGCGAGACAGACACGUCGAGCAGGUACGAAAGUAGGUCUUAGUGAUCCGGUGGUUCUGUAUGGAAGGGCCAUCGCUCAACGGAUAAAAGGUACUCCGGGGAUAACAGGCUGAUACCGCCCAAGAGUUCAUAUCGACGGCGGUGUUUGGCACCUCGAUGUCGGCUCAUCACAUCCUGGGGCUGAAGCCGGUCCCAAGGGUAUGGCUGUUCGCCAUUUAAAGUGGUACGCGAGCUGGGUUUAGAACGUCGUGAGACAGUUCGGUCCCUAUCUGCCGUGGACGUUUGAGAUUUGAGAGGGGCUGCUCCUAGUACGAGAGGACCGGAGUGGACGAACCUCUGGUGUUCCGGUUGUCACGCCAGUGGCAUUGCCGGGUAGCUAUGUUCGGAAAAGAUAACCGCUGAAAGCAUCUAAGCGGGAAACUUGCCUCAAGAUGAGAUCUCACUGGGAACUUGAUUCCCCUGAAGGGCCGUCGAAGACUACGACGUUGAUAGGCUGGGUGUGUAAGCGUUGUGAGGCGUUGAGCUAACCAGUACUAAUUGCCCGUGAGGCUUGACCAUAUAACACCCAAACA